CCUACGGGGGGCAGCAGUGAGGAAUAUUGGUCAAUGGACGAGAGUCUGAACCAGCCACGUCGCGUGAAGGAUGACUGCCCUAUGGGUUGUAAACUUCUUUUAUAAAGGAAUAAAACGAGGCACGUGUGCCUUUUUGCAUGUACUUUAUGAAUAAGCAUCGGCUAACUCCGUGCCAGCAGCAGCGGUAAUACGGAGGAUCCGAGCGUUAUCCGGAUUUAUUGGGUUUAAAGGGAGCGUAGAUGGGUUGUUAAGUCAGUUGUGAAAGUUUGCGGCUCAACCGUAAAAUUGCAAUUGAUACUGGCAGUCUUGAGUACAGUAGAGGUAGGCGGAAUUCGUGGUGUAGCGGUGAAAUGCUUAGAUAUCACGAAGAACCCCGAUUGCGAAGGCAGCUUACUAAACUGUGACUGACAUUGAUGCUCGAAAGUGUGGGUAGCAAACAGGAUUAGAUACCCCAGUAGUC
rnacentral:rRNA from 1 species